rnacentral:rRNA from 1 species
GACGAACGCUGGCGGCGUGCUUAACACAUGCAAGUCGAACGGAAAGGCCCUGCUUUUGUGGGGUGCUCGAGUGGCGAACGGGUGAGUAACACGUGAGUAACCUGCCCUUGACUUUGGGAUAACUUCAGGAAACUGGGGCUAAUACCGGAUAGGAGCUCCUGCUGCAUGGUGGGGGUUGGAAAGUUUCGGCGGUUGGGGAUGGACUCGCGGCUUAUCAGCUUGUUGGUGGGGUAGUGGCUUACCAAGGGUUUGACGGGUAGCCGGCCUGAGAGGGUGACCGGCCACAAUGGGACUGCGAUACGGACCAGACUGCUACGGGAGGCAGCAGUGGGGAAUAUUGCACAAUGGGCGGAAGCCAGAUGCAGCAACGCCGCGUGCGGGAUGACGGCCUUCGGGUUGUAAACCGCUUUCGCCUGUGACGAAGCGUGAGUGACGGUAAUGGGUAAAGAAGCACCGGCUAACUACGUG